CCUACGGGAGGCAGCAGUGAGGAAUAUUUGUCAAUGGACGAGAGUCUGAACCAGCCAAGUAGCGUGAAGGAUGACUGCCCUAUGGGUUGUAAACUUCUUUUAUAUGGGAAUAAAAUGUUCCACGUGUGGGAUUUUGUAUGUACCAUAUGAAUAAGGAUCGGCUAACUCCGUGCCAGCAGCCGCGGUAAUACGGAGGAUACGAGCGUUAUCCGGAUUUAUUGGGUUUAAAGGGAGCGUAGGUGGAUUGUUAAGUCAGUUGUGAAAGUUUGCGGCUCAACCGUAAAAUUGCAGUUGAAACUGGCAGUCUUGAGUACAGUAGAGGUGGGCGGAAUUCGUGGUGUAGCGGUGAAAUGCUUAGAUAUCACGAAGAACUCCGAUUGCGAAGGCAGUUCACUGGACUGCAACUGACACUGAGGCUCGAAAGUGUGGGUAUCAAACAGGAUUAGAUACCCGUGUAGUC
rnacentral:rRNA from 1 species